CAGAUAAAUGAAUUCAACCAGCAACAGAAUAAACGCAGUUCGGAUAAAGACUUCUUCUGUACAGAGAGACAGUGCUGUGUUUCAAUAUUAAUGUGAAGUAACUGUCCAUAUCAAAACAAUGUCGAACUAUGUCAAACGACGUCAAGCAACAUGAAACAUCAUCAUGAACAUGAUGAAGACAUCAUCAUCAUGAAGACACGUGAAGGGAACUGAAGCGUGAGAAUGUCCUCGCAUGAGAACCGCUGGCAAUGAGGAAUCGCUAGGAAGAGCGGACGAUUUUAAUCGCUGGCUUCAGGAUGGGACAUCGCAAACAGACAUCAUGAAGAGUAACAACGACCGAGCACGUAACCAACCGCGUAAGUCUGGUGAAUGGGAAAAGGAGAAGCCCGUUGUGUAUAUGCCUGUAUGUAUUGGUAUAAACACGUGUCGUUGCGUUAUAUACGUGUGGACCAGUCAACGCCGGACGUCCCACUAAGAGUACGAAACGCUCGAAGGUAGAAAGGUUCGUAGAUUCUUUCGUCCCGAUCGAAAUGCGGAACGUCCAUGGGAACAUGGAGUAGAAUCCCAAAGCGAGUAAAAAGCGACAGUGCAUUAGAAAGGGAAUUUUCAGUAAAUCGAAAUUCAGCCGGGCAUCAAGCGAUGCGUGGAAACUGUUUCUUUUGUCAUUCGUUAUAUUUUUUUUCUUUCAUAGCCAUUAUAUUUUUUAAUAUACUAUAUAUUAUAUAUUUGUGAUCUUUUGGGUUUCAAUCGUGUUAUUAGUACAUCGCGCUUGUUCUGAGAUUUCGUGAAUAUUCUAGUUCACGUUUUCAGGGCAGAUAGAAAAUGAUUUUUUGAAAAUGAUUUCCCAGGCCGUGAGAAAUUUAAAUCAAAGUCUGAAAUAGAAAUUUUGGUUUAUAGAAUUGUAUUCUGAAUAGCGUGUUUCGUACUUUGUACUGUUUUUUAUACAGUUAGAUACUAGGUAGUGAGAUCGAUAUGAAGAGAAAGCUUUUUUGUCUCAUGAACGAUUUAGGUUGAAUUGGCAGUGAGCAUUUUGAUUUUAAAAGGUAAGAGUUUUGAACAGUGUGAUUUAUGGUGAAGUAUACGUUAAGUAAUAGGAUUACUGCGAAAUAGAAUCUCUCUUUCUCAUAAAAUGAAUCUCUUCUUUCUUGUUCUUUUAUAAUACAUACAGUUGGAAGUACACCGUGACAAAUGGUAGAAAUUGAAACACAUAUCCCUCUCUCCAAUAUAAUUACUCUUUUUUCAUUAUCACUACUUUAUUUCCUAUGUAAUAUGAAAUGGCAAAGCCAUAAAACGGCAAAUGGAUUUGAAAAUUAAAAGAGGAAAGUAUAAAGAAGAAAAAGUUUAAUGAUUGGAGAUUGUUUUAUGGCUCGAUGGAUUUGAGAGUGAAACUUUUUCAAAGAUGAACCAUGAAUAAGUGCAACUACGAAGAAUGCAUGUGAAACGGUCAUGGGAACAUGGAGUAGAAUCUUAAAGACAAUGAAAAGCGACAGUGUGUUAGAAAGGUAUUCAAAUACUUUCAUGAGCCAGUGUAGAACCUCGAUGCCUGAAAACAUACAAAUCUUAAAUCUUAAAAAUAUUUAUAAAAAAAAAAAAAUAAACGUCGCAGAGAAACAGAAACGCAGAAAUCUGUAUGUGAAACGGAGUCAUGGGAAAACAGGGCAGAAUCUCAGAGAGUUAGAGCCGCCUUACAAAAGAGAGACAUUGCAAGCGCGUUGGAAAGGAAGUUUUGUGGAAUGAGGCUUGUCAGCGACGUUUUGCGGUCCAAAUGGUAUUCUCUUAUACGGUAAACAUUCUAGGAAAAGUCCAGGGCAGUGAAGGGAUUUUUCUGCUAUUUAGAAGCUAUUAUAAAGGAAAUUAAAGGUGUUUAGAAUGAUGGAUGGCAGUUCGAAUACCGUAUUGAAUAGAAUUGGCUGAAAGAAUGGCGUGACAAAAAUGGACAAAGUAUAAACACCUUUGGACACAGGAGAAAGGCAAAUACUCUAAAAAUAGGAUUAAUUACUUAAGUAUAAAAUGCUAAAUUCUUUUCAAUUUUACCAUUAUAACUUAAGAAACUCAAAUACAUUAACUACAUGUCAGAGGUAAACGCUAAAACUAAAGUAAAUUAAUUGAAUCCAGGAAAAAAAGAAGAAAUUAAUUAAACUCUGAUCGGAAAAAUUCUAUUAAAACACGAUUAAAAAACCAGUUCAAACUAACGAAGAUCUAUUAAUGCGCUUUCCCUUCCAUGAACGAACAAUUAUAUCAAUUAAAUACAACAAAUCAUUCAACAGAUCAUGACGUCAACUUAACGAGCCAUCAUAGCCGCAACAAAUUCGGUUUCCACCGCAGACAGUCGUCCAUUUAUUAAACCGUACAAGCAUAAAUCCUUUUCCAUAGUCUCAAAUCUAUUCAUUCACUAUCACGGCGAUCAUCGGCGAUCAUCCUGUGAAAAACAUUGGGUCAAGAGGCCUAGGAAACUUAUUUUUAGUUUUUUAGGCGCAGUUAAUUUUCAGCAAAAGUCCAUAACAAACACUUGGCUGUAAUUGAUCAAGAUAGCCAUCAAAGUGCUAAUCAACAAGUCUAAUCAACAGAUUCUAUGAUCAACAAAAGCAGCUAAGUAAUUAUACUUGGUUAAAAAAGUGAAAGAAAUUCCGAUAUUGUGUAAAUUACAAAAUAACACAAUCGGUUGCAAUAUAACGUAUAUUUUAAAAAUUAGCAAUUUCAUUGAAGUUACUGAAUAGUAUGCAGUAUAGCUGAAGGCAAAAUAUUCGAACUCGAAUUCGUCCAUUGGUUUCGUAUUAGCAAAUAGAAAGGAUGAAUAUCUGAAAUAAGAUCGAAAGUAGAAUCGAGGCAAUCAAGGUCAGACUAUACGUCGAACCUUUUGAGGUCAGAAUA
rnacentral:lncRNA from 1 species